CACGUAAAUGAAGGAGUGGCAGAAUAUUGAGAGAGAGAAUAAUGAAAGGAGAUACAAAGAAUAAACAGAUAAAGAAGAAGAAAAAAAGCAAUGACUGCCAUAACGUAUCUCCUGCUAAAGUUACACUAUAUUUAAUUAUGUAAUUGAAUACAAUUUAUUCAUUCUCGCGAACCAGAACAGACUGGAACGGAUUAUUAAAGACUGGAACGGAUUAUUAAAGACUGGAACGGAUUAUUAAAGACGGGAACGGAUUAUUAAAGACUGGAACGGAUUAUUAAAGACUGGAACGGAUUAUUAAAGACUUGAACGGAUUAUUAAAGACUGGAACGGAUUAUUAAAGACGGGAACGGAUUAUUAAAGACUUCCACUGCUGAAAAUAUUUUGCCUUGCGACAUGGACAUUAAAAAAAUCAAGGAGAAAAUUGAAUCUGGGGACAUCGAAGGUGCGAAAAGCAUGAUAGAAAGCCGUUCAGACAGAAUUAACCUAAGAGAUUCAAACGGUAAAACUUAUCUGAUGGCUGCUUCUGCAGAGGGCAACAUAGUUUUAAUAAACUUGUUAAUAGAUGCUGGAGCAGAUUUGGACAAGAGAGACACAAGGGGUCGGACAGCUUUUUAUCAUGCUGUGUUUGGGUAAGUUCAGAAUUACCUAAAAUCUCCAGAUCUGUUUUUGUUUCUCGAUUUCUUCCAAUUUCAGACAGGUUAAAUAUCCAAAGAUGCCAUAGUAGUAGCAGUGGAACAACAGGAUGACAACAUGACAACAGUAACCAACAACAACU